GCGAAAGUGGUGAAAUUGGCAGACACGCUAGAUUUAGGCUCUAGUGCCGCGAGGCUUAGGGGUUCAAGUCCCCUCUUUCGCA
rnacentral:tRNA from 1 species